rnacentral:rRNA from 1 species
GAUGAACGCUGGCGGCGUGCCUAAUACAUGCAAGUCGAGCGAACGGACGAGAAGCUUGCUUCUCUGAUGUUAGCGGCGGACGGGUGAGUAACACGUGGAUAACCUACCUAUAAGACUGGGAUAACUUCGGGAAACCGGAGCUAAUACCGGAUAAUAUUUUGAACCGCAUGGUUCAAAAGUGAAAGACGGUCUUGCUGUCACUUAUAGAUGGAUCCGCGCUGCAUUAGCUAGUUGGUAAGGUAACGGCUUACCAAGGCAACGAUGCAUAGCCGACCUGAGAGGGUGAUCGGCCACACUGGAACUGAGACACGGUCCAGACUCCUACGGGAGGCAGCAGUAGGGAAUCUUCCGCAAUGGGCGAAAGCCUGACGGAGCAACACCGCGUGAGUGAUGAAGGUCUUCGGAUCGUAAAACUCUGUUAUUAGGGAAGAACAUAUGUGUAAGUAACUGUGCACAUCUUGACGGUACCUAAUCAGAAAGCCACGGCUAACUACGUGCCAGCAGCCGCGGUAAUACGUAGGUGGCAAGCGUUAUCCGGAAUUAUUGGGCGUAAAGCGCGCGUAGGCGGUUUUUUAAGUCUGAUGUGAAAGCCCACGGCCCAACCGUGGAGGGUCAUUGGAAACUGGAAAACUUGAGUGCAGAAGAGGAAAGUGGAAUUCCAUGUGUAGCGGUGAAAUGCGCAGAGAUAUGGAGGAACACCAGUGGCGAAGGCGACUUUCUGGUCUGUAACUGACGCUGAUGUGCGAAAGCGUGGGGAUCAAACAGGAUUAGAUACCCUGGUAGUCCACGCCGUAAACGAUGAGUGCUAAGUGUUAGGGGGUUUCCGCCCCUUAGUGCUGCAGCUAACGCAUUAAGCACUCCGCCUGGGGAGUACGACCGCAAGGUUGAAACUCAAAGGAAUUGACGGGGACCCGCACAAGCGGUGGAGCAUGUGGUUUAAUUCGAAGCAACGCGAAGAACCUUACCAAAUCUUGACAUCCUUUGACAACUCUAGAGAUAGAGCCUUCCCCUUCGGGGGACAAAGUGACAGGUGGUGCAUGGUUGUCGUCAGCUCGUGUCGUGAGAUGUUGGGUUAAGUCCCGCAACGAGCGCAACCCUUAAGCUUAGUUGCCAUCAUUAAGUUGGGCACUCUAAGUUGACUGCCGGUGACAAACCGGAGGAAGGUGGGGAUGACGUCAAAUCAUCAUGCCCCUUGUGAUUUGGGCUACACACGUGCUACAAUGGACAAUACAAAGGGCAGCGAAACCGCGAGGUCAAGCAAAUCCCAUAAAGUUGUUCUCAGUUCGGAUUGUAGUCUGCAACUCGACUACAUGAAGCUGGAAUCGCUAGUAAUCGUAGAUCAGCAUGCUACGGUGAAUACGUUCCCGGGUCU